UAGGGAAUCUUCCGCAAUGGGCGAAAGCCUGACGGAGCAACGCCGCGUGAGUGAUGAAGGUCUUCGGAUCGUAAAACUCUGUUAUUAGGGAAGAACAAAUGUGUAAGUAACUAUGCACGUCUUGACGGUACCUAAUCAGAAAGCCACGGCUAACUACGUGCCAGCAGCCGCGGUAAUACGUAGGUGGCAAGCGUUAUCCGGAAUUAUUGGGCGUAAAGCGCGCGUAGGCGGUUUUUUAAGUCUGAUGUGAAAGCCCACGGCUCAACCGUGGAGGGUCAUUGGAAACUGGAAAACUUGAGUGCAGAAGAGGAAAGUGGAAUUCCAUGUGUAGCGGUGAAAUGCGCAGAGAUAUGGAAGAACACCAGUGGCGAAGGCGACUUUCUGGUCUGUAACUGACGCUGAUGUGCGAAAGCGUGGGGAUCAAACAGG
rnacentral:rRNA from 1 species